ACUUAAUAUUUGUUUGUGUGUGAAAAAUGCAAAAAAACUAAUUUGAACGCCAAUUUAGCAAUUUUGCAAUUUUGCAUUUUUCACACACAAACAAAUAUUAACACU